rnacentral:rRNA from 1 species
UACAGAGGGUGCAAGCGUUAAUCGGAGUUACUGGGCGUAAAGGGCGCGUAGGCGGUCUUAUAAGUGAGAUGUGAAAUCCCUGGGCUUAACCUAGGAACUGCAUCUCAUACUGUGAGACUAGAGUAUUGUAGAGGGUAGUGGAAUUUCCGGUGUAGCGGUGAAAUGCGUAGAGAUCGGAAGGAACACCAGUGGCGAAGGCGGCUACCUGGACAAAUACUGACGCUGAGGCGCGAGAGCGUGGGGAGCAAAC